GACGAACGCUGGCGGCGGGCUUAACACAUGCAAGUCGAACGAGGUCCAUUCUGUAGCAAUACAGAGGAAGACCUAGUGGCGAACGGGUGCGUAACACGUGAGAAACCUGCCCCGGACUCUGGGAUAACAGUUGGAAACGACUGCUAAUACCGGAUGCCUCCGCUGAGUCGCAUCACUUUGUAACGAAAGAAUUUCGGUUCGGGAGGGCCUCGCGGCCUAUCAGCUAGUUGGAGAGGUAACGGCUCACCAAGGCAUCGACGGGUAGCUGGUCUGAGAGGAUGAUCAGCCACACUGGGACUGAGACACGGCCCAGACUCCUACGGGAGGCAGCAGUGGGGAAUCUUGCACAAUGGGCGAAAGCCUGAUGCAGCAACGCCGCGUGCGGGAAGAAGGCCCUAGGGUUGUAAACCGAGUUAAUAGCUCUUCUCAUUGAUGUUACCCGCAGAAGAAGCACCGGCUAAUUCAGUGCCAGCAGCCGCGGUAAUACUGAAGGUGCAAGCGUUAAUCGGAAUUACUGGGCGUAAAGCGCGCGUAGGCGGUUUGAUUAGUUGGAUGUGAAAGUCCAGGGUUUAACCUUGGAACUGCAUUCAAAACUGUCAGGCUAGAGUACGGUAGAGGGGGGUAGAAUUCCACGUGUAGUGGUGAAAUGUGUAGAGAUGUGGAGGAAUACCAGUGGCGAAGGCGGCCCCCUGGAUCGAUACUGACGCUGAGGUGCGAAAGCGUGGGGAGUAAAUAGGAUUAGAUAUCCUGGUAGUCCACGCUGUAAAUGAUGUCAACUAGCCGUUGGAGGGGUAAUCCCUUUAGUGGCGCAGCUAACGCAAUAAGUUGACCGCCUGGGGAGUACGGUCGCAAGAUUAAAACUCAAAUGAAUUGACGGGGGCCCGCACAAGCGGUGGAGCAUGUGGUUUAAUUCGACGCAACGCGAAGAACCUUACCUGGUCUUGACAUCCUACUCGCGAGUUUAGGAAACUAGACUUUUCGGUUUCGGGAGCUCUGGGACAGGUGCUGCACGGCUGGCGUCAGCUCGUGUCGUGAGAUGUUGGGUUAAGUCCCGUAACGAGCGCAACCCCUACUUUUAGUUGCCAUCAGGUCAUGCUGGGCACUCUGAAAGAACUGCCAGUGAUAAGCUGGAGGAAGGUGGGGAUGACGUCAAGUCCUCAUGGCCCUUACGGGUUGGGCUACACACGUGCUACAAUGGUAGUGACAAUGAGAUGCAAAGUGGCGACGCUAAGCUAAACUCAAAAAUCUACCUCAGUUCGGAUUGCACUCUGCAACUCGAGUGCAUGAAGCUGGAAUCGCUAGUAAUCGUAGAUCAGCGUGCUACGGUGAAUACGUUCCCGGGUCUUGUACACACCGCCCGUCACACCAUGGAAGUUGGUUCUACCUUAAAGCAGAUUGCUAACCGCAAGGAGGCGUUUGACCAAGGUAUAGUCAGCGACUGGGGUG
rnacentral:rRNA from 1 species